rnacentral:rRNA from 1 species
AUGAAUAGUCACUCGAUCAUGGCGGUGUCGUCGGUGUUCGCCGCCUUCGACAAGGACGGCGACGGCAAGGUCUCCGCGUCCGAACUGCGGCGCUGCAUGGAGGCCACGCUGGGCGAGAGCGUGUCCGAGGAGGAAGCGGCGGCGGUCCUUGCGGCGAUUGAUGCCGACGGCGACGGGCUGCUAAACCAAGAAGAGUUCUCGAGGCUGGCCGCCGGCGCCCAUGAAGAGGAGGACGAUGCCGACGUGAAGAGAAGGUGCCUGAGGGAGGCGUUCGGGAUGUACGCGGAAGACACGACGACAACGGUGAUUACGCCGGCGAGCCUGAGGCGAACACUGAGCAGGCUGGGGUCGCACGAGCUGGGCGUGGAGGAGUGCCGGGCAAUGAUCUGCAGAUUCGACCUUGACGGCGACGGCAAACUCUCGUUCGACGAGUUCCGGGUCAUGAUGAUGGCCUGA